rnacentral:rRNA from 1 species
GACGAACGCUUGCGGCGUGCUUAACACAUGCAAGUCGAACGGAAAGGCCCUGCUUUUGUGGGGUGCUCGAGUGGCGAACGGGUGAGUAACACGUGAGUAACCUGCCCUUGACUUUGGGAUAACUUCAGGAAACUGGGGCUAAUACCGGAUAGGAGCUCCUGCUGCAUGGUGGGGGUUGGAAAGUUUCGGCGGUUGGGGAUGGACUCGCGGCGUAUCAGCUUGUUGGUGGGGUAGUGGCUUACCAAGGCUUUGACGGGUAGCCGGCCUGAGAGGGUGACCGGCCACAUUGGGACUGAGAUACGGCCCAGACUCCUACGGGAGGCAGCAGUGGGGAAUAUUGCACAAUGGGCGGAAGCCUGAUGCAGCAACGCCGCGUGCGGGAUGACGGCCUUCGGGUUGUAAACCGCUUUCGCCUGUGACGAAGCGUGAGUGACGGUAAUGGGUAAAGAAGCACCGGCUAACUACGUGCCAGCAGCCGCGGUGAUACGUAGGGUGCGAGCGUUGUCCGGAUUUAUUGGGCGUAAAGGGCUCGUAGGUGGUUGAUCGCGUCGGAAGUGUAAUCUUGGGGCUUAACCCUGAGCGUGCUUUCGAUACGGGUUGACUUGAGGAAGGUAGGGGAGAAUGGAAUUCCUGGUGGAGCGGUGGAAUGCGCAGAUAUCAGGAGGAACACCAGUGGCGAAGGCGGUUCUCUGGGCCUUUCCUGACGCUGAGGAGCGAAAGCGUGGGGAGCGAACAGGCUUAGAUACCCUGGUAGUCCACGCUGUAAACGGUGGGUACUAGGUGUGGGGUCCAUUCCACGGGUUCCGUGCCGUAGCUAACGCUUUAAGUACCCCGCCUGGGGAGUACGGCCGCAAGGCUAAAACUCAAAGGAAUUGACGGGGCCCCGCACAAGCGGCGGAGCAUGCGGAUUAAUUCGAUGCAACGCGUAGAACCUUACCUGGGUUUGACAUGGAUCGGGAGUGCUCAGAGAUGGGUGUGCCUCUUUUGGGGUCGGUUCACAGGUGGUGCAUGGCUGUCGUCAGCUCGUGUCGUGAGAUGUUGGGUUAAGUCCCGCAACGAGCGCAACCCUUGUUCACUGUUGCCAGCACGUUAUGGUGGGGACUCAGUGGAGACCGCCGGGGUCAACUCGGAGGAAGGUGGGGAUGACGUCAAGUCAUCAUGCCCCUUAUGUCCAGGGCUUCACGCAUGCUACAAUGGCUGGUACAGAGAGUGGCGAGCCUGUGAGGGUGAGCGAAUCUCGGAAAGCCGGUCUCAGUUCGGAUUGGGGUCUGCAACUCGACCUCAUGAAGUCGGAGUCGCUAGUAAUCGCAGAUCAGCAACGCUGCGGUGAAUACGUUCCCGGG